GACGAACGCUGGCGGCGUGCCUAAUACAUGCAAGUCGAGCGCAGGAAGUCAUCCGAACCCUUCGGGGGGACGUUGACGGAAGGAGCGGCGGACGGGUGAGUAACACGUAAAGAACCUGCCCUCAGGUCUGGGAUAACCACGAGAAAUCGGGGCUAAUACCGGAUGGGUCAUCGGACCGCAUGGUCCGGGGAUGAAAGGCGCUCCGGCGUGGCCUGGGGUUGGCUUUGGGGUGCAUUAGCUAGUUGGUGGGGUAAUGGCCCACCAAGGCGACGAUGCAUAGCCGACCUGAGAGGGUGAUCGGCCACACUGGGACUGAGACACGGCCCAGACUCCUACGGGAGGCAGCAGUAGGGAAUCUUCCACAAUGGACGAAAGUCUGAUGGAGCAACGCCGCGUGAACGAUGAAGGCCCUCGGGUCGUAAAGUUCUGUUGUAAGGGAAGAACAAGUGCCGCAGGCAAUGGCGGCACCUUGACGGUACCUUGCGAGAAAGCCACGGCUAACUACGUG
rnacentral:rRNA from 1 species